GGCCCAUAGCUCAGUGGUAGAACAUCUGCUUUGAAUGCUGAAGGUCCUAGGUUCAAUCCUCAGCAUCUCUA